GUGUGCUCUGUGAUUGGCUGGCGACCAGGCCUGGACUGUACCCGGUCUCGUGCCCAAAUUCUGCUGGCAAAGAUAACAGCUCAGCCACAAUGCCAAUGAGGACAAACGCUACUGAAAAUGAAUGUAUUGAUGGCGGUGAGAUAGACUUUUUUUUUUGUGAGCCGAUAAGAUUGAGGGGGGGAAAAAAGCAAGUCAAGCGAAAAGGAAUUAAAAGUAGCAGAUGCAACAUUAUUUCUACAAAUCGAACAAACCCACAUUGAUAUUGCAACUGAAGCAAAACCAAAUGCGCAUAAUGUGUUACAGACAUGUCUGACCAGAGCGAGGAAGAAAGAGGAAUUCUGUGGGUCAUUGGAUGUUAUUCUUCAAUCCACCCUUGCACCUUUUGGCUUGUGAUUUUCCUGCCGAGGACCACGUAAUACAACCUCUGACUGAUAAGCCUGAUCGACAGACUAUACCCCACGGGACCAUAUAAGGUGUCGCCCAUAAUACCAGGACUCAACAUGUUUUGCUUGCUUCACCACGUCCAUCUGCUUCAGGUUAUAUGGGCCUUGCUGGUGAAUUCAUUGAAUGUAAACAAGGAGCAGCUGCAGCGACGCUGUCCUCAGCGAUCUGGAGAUGGGGAGGACAAUGAUUGGCUUCCGUCUUACGAACGCAAAGCUCUUCAUCCGAGGUGAUGGAACAACUGAUGUCAAGAGGGUGAAUCAGAAGACGCUCCAGUUUGCAACCGGACGCCCCCGGAACGUCAACGUUAAAGACGUGGCUGAAGGCUGUGAACGCACAAACGUUGACCUGACAGCGAGGCGAGCGUGUGAGGCAAACAGAGGCAGACAACAAUCCGACAAAUACACAGAGGAGACGCCGGCGCUAUUCAGCUUCAAAACCAAAAGGCUGGACGUCUUCGCCGGCUGUUCUGUGCAAGUCACUGACCUCGAACGAGGUACACACCUCCCGAUUUUUAAUGUCUUCACCGAUUUAGCCAUGUUUAUUCUUAUUGCUCUUUUAGAGUUUAGUGUACUUGAGGAUGACCAACAGAGCACCCCACACAUUUAACGAUACCUCGACCUUGGUGUAGUACCAGACCUGGCCUGUGAGUGGCAACAUGGUACCAUAGGACAUCCAGAAAAUACAAAAAAAAAAAAGAAAAAGAAGGAGAAGCGUCGUAGAUUGUCUUGUGAAAAGAUUGGAUGGAAAAGUCACUCUUAGCACACCACGGGAUAAUCGUUCAGGAUUAUCUUAACCUAUCCGACAGUCUGGCCUUUGCUGACUGAAAUUUGUCGUGUUGUUCCGUGUGUCUAUUAACUCGUUUACCGUUCAUGGUUCUUUUUUUCUCCCUGCUUCCAUGCUCACCGUCAACAAAGGUGCUCUGAAAAGUAGAAUAUGACAUCUUUGCACAGGGUCAGUGAUCUCCAGACGCAACCCUGGCACACGGAGCAGGAAAACCAAACUUGAGAGUGUUUUAUCGCUCGAGGGCAGUGCUAUUGUCUGUGGGGUCGCCUGGUGAAAAGAUUUGCUCAUGAACCGCAGCCGUGAGGCUUCCAACGAAAGCCGCUGCAUUAUGCAACCUGAAGGCCUUUUUUUUUUUUUUAAAUAAGCGACCACUCACUUAGGGAUGUGGGACUCUCUGUCUCCCCCUUCUACAAUGUCAUGCAUGGCUGAGAGCUUGCAUCUGGAACUCAUUUCCAGGGCUUGUGUAGGUGCCCUGGGCCAUGCACAGUAGCAUUAAAUGUAAAUCUAUGGGAUCAGCAUCCCCCCCCCCACCCCUUCCCCGCCAACCCCCAAAGCCGAUCCA